rnacentral:lncRNA from 1 species
GGUUUAUGAGUACUUAAGACAUGUUUGAUUCAAUUUAAAAAAUAAUUACAAGCUGGGCAUGGUGGCUAAUGCCUAUAAUCCCAGCACUUAGGGAGGCUAAGACAGGAGGAUUGCUUGAGCCCAGGAGUUUGAAAGCAGCCUGAGCAAUAUAGAGAUACUCUGUCUCUACAAGAAAUUUAAGAAUAGGCUGCAACACUCACUCUAAGGGGAGCAUUGUGAGGUAUACCAAGAUGAGUAAGAACAAUAUGGUUUAGCAUGCCAGAACAAGGAAGUUUCAGGUGCUAGAAACACAGACAUCCUCAGCUCAAACAGGAACGCCCAGAACAGUAUACAAGAAAGCCUGGAGCUGGAGUCAGAAGACUGGCUCCCAUGUGUGGUGUCCUAACUCUCUCUAGACCUCAAUUUCCUCAUAUGUUUAAUAAGGAUAACAACCUACUCUUCAGCCCACCUGAGAGGACAGGAUGCUUCAAGAAAGACAGUGAGCAGCAGGUCCUUUAAAAAUCAAAGGAAAACAGGCUCCUGGAUAGGUGUGAGAUAGAAGUGAAUUAUGGCACAUACGAGAGCAACAAUAAAUUAUCCUUUACUAACAGUAACCUAAGGGAAAUGCCCGGCAUUGUGUCUGGCACAGACUAGAUACUCAGUAGUUCCCUUCUCACACUUGCUCAGCCCUGUUUGAACCCAGACAGAGAGCAGCUCAAAAUAUGCAAGUAUUACAUACUCACAGAACCUGGAGACAAGAGAAGCGGCUUCUAGGCACAUGGGCUCCCAUCCUUGCAGCAGCUGGUAUAGAGGUUGCAUGACAACUUGUGAGGAUUCUGCAGUAGCGUGGGCUCAGCUACAUGACCUAAAUAAAGGUCUCUUUCAACCCUGAGAUUCUGUAAGUUUCUUUUUCUUUAGACAGAGUCUCACUCUGUCACCCAGGCUGGAGUGCAGUGACACGAUCUCGGCUCAGCGCAACCUCUGCCUCCAAGGCUGAGGUGGAAGUAUCGCUUGAGGCCAGGAAUUGGAGACCAGCCUGGGCAACAUAGAGAGAUCCCAUCUCUACAAAAAAUGAAAAAAAAAAAAAGCCAGAUGUGAUGGCAUGUGCCUGUGGUUCCAGCUGCUCAGGAGGCUGAGGCAGGAGGAUCGCUUGAGCCCAGGAAUACAAGGCUGCAGUGAGCUAUGAUCAUGCCACUGCACUUUAGUCUGAGCAGCAGC